UGCUGUCUUCAUCACCAGCACUACACUAAAAUUGGAAUGAAUACAGAGAAAAGAAAGAUUAGCAUGGCUCUUGUGAAGGAUGACAUGUAAAUUUGUGAAGUGUUCCAUCUUUUU
ensembl:snRNA U6 U6 spliceosomal RNA